rnacentral:lncRNA from 1 species
UUUACUGGGAGUUGUUCACCACCAUAACCAGUCAGUCUGCGCAUGGUGGGCUGUAGCUCCCCACUCAGAUGUCAAGCUGCGGUAUUUAUUCAGAGGAAUAAUGUUUACUUGUGCACCAGUGUCUAGUUUGAACUUUAGCUUUGUGCCUUGUGUUCCUAUCUCAAUGUCAGCAAAGGCUUGCUCUGUCUCUGAUAUGUGACUUUUCUGUGUCACUGAAUCAAUAAACAGUUCAUCAUCAUUUGACUCUUUGAUUGACAUUUCAUCUUCACUCACUGUGUGUACUGUUUUUCCACGGUAAGCUCUGCACACUUUUGCAAAGUGGUUCCAUUUACCACAUUUAGUACACUGUUUGCCUUUAGCUGGGCCAUUUCCUUGUUCGCCAUGCACUUUGUAUCCACAAUAUCCACAUGUUUUGGGGCGUUUUGAGUCUGUGUCGCUCUGUUUUGGAGUUAUGUCUCUCUCCGUUCUGAAACGCUCUCUCUGGGCACCGGAGGUGUGCUUUGAUGUCUGCCUGACUGCGUGCACUGCUUGUUCACGUGAUGCGCUCGUGCUGCGGCGCGAAAUGGUUUUCAUCUGAGCCUGUGCUAGCUCGUGAGAUCUGGCUAUGUCGAUAGCUUUGUCCAGCGUUAGCUCAGACCCAACAUUCAAAAGUUUCUCUCUCACUCGCGGUGAGUGUAUUCCAAAUACAAUACGGUCCCUGACCAUCUCAUCCUUGUUUGCAUAAUCACAGUCUUUCACAAGCAGACGCAGCUCAGUCACAAACUGUUCAAAAGACUCGCUAGCUCCCUGUACUUUCUCAUGGAAUUUGUACCUAUCGAAAAUUGUAUUAGUCUUCGGCACAACAUAUGCUUCAAAACGAUCGUAUUAUGUUUUCAGUACCUUUGAUUCAGCCUCGGGGACCCGUGAACAUUAGCUCCACAUGCUGUUUGUACUUACGCCAUGCAUCGGGUAAGUUUGUAGACUCCCAGUCCAUUCGAGGUGAAGGAACUCCAGAAAAAUCCAUCUUUUAAGACCAUUUACUCUGACACCAUGUUUUGUUUUGUACGCUUUGUACAAAAUAAUAAAACGCAGAACCACAGGAUGUUUCUUAACAUAACUCUUUAUUAACUAGUUACAACUCCAUGUUAGCCUAUCUCCAACCACGAUCAACUGCCCACGACCCAACCGUCUGGGUGGUCCCAACCAAUCACCGCACAGUAUGACACGGCGGUAAAAUGCAUCCAACUAUAACUCAGCAUGUAUUCACAUAUGAAUAUUACAAAUACCACAAUAUUGUUUUGUAACUUGACUGUUGAAGUGAAUGUAAUGGUUUUGAACAAUAUAGUAAUUGUAUAAGUUCGUACUAGACAGAAAACGCAUGUCUAGUGUAAAAUGAAAUGAUGGCGGUGCAUUUGUUCUAGAAAACAACGAACUCCUGAAAAUGUUUUUUUUUUAAAGUCACUCCUGACAAUAUCCUAAGGGUUUAGAGAAUUUAAUGUUGUAACUGUGAUGUUUAAGAACUUUGUAAUUGUUGUACUCUAAAUGUUAGAAAAGCGGUUAGCAUUUGGCUAGCUGCGGUUAGCUUUUGGCUAGCUCCGGUCAGUUGGUUGCUAGCUUCGGUUAGCGCUAUGCUAGCUUGUUCAAACAUUUUCCAAUAAUUAGCAUUCAUGUCAGUUGAAAUAGUCUUGUCUUUCUAUUAGCUCUUACACUGGGUGAAUGUAUCUUUUAGCAUGGGUAUAAAGUAAACUUAUAUUGAGUUAUAUCAGUCUUUAAAGGCUUUCAUGUUUUAGAGUCUCCUAUGGGGCUCUAGGGGGCAACAGUCAACUAACGUUGCAUAAUUAUAACCUAAACAGGUGAAUUAAAGUUAAGAGUAAAUGUGUUUGGGGUAUAAAUGUAAAGAAUUUGAGGACUUGGAUUGGAAUGUAAUAUUUUUUAUGUCUACAUUGAUGUAUGUUUGAUAUGUGUAUGAACUAAUGUCAGGGAUUUAUGAGAGAUUAUUAAAUACACUUUAAAGAAAACAAAAUAAAAAAUUGCAAUACGAUGAAAAGACACAUGACAGAAUGUUGAAUAAAAUAAUUGAGAGAACCUUUGAAAGAGAAGCCACGUUUUCCUGUUUCAUAAUUUAUCCUGUGUUACAAGAACUAUUUUCUGCUUCACCUGUCCCAAAACAGGGACCUGUAACAAUAGCAAAGACUAACAAGAGGAUCUGAAACUAUGACUAAUAAAAUCAGUCAACAUGUUUUGAGUAAUAGCUAGUUUAUUGGAUUAAAUCAGAGCUAAGUGAUUGAUCGAAACAUGCAUUCCUCUCUUAACACGAAAUUCAACUUGAAAUUUUGCCGGGCAUGCUAGCUGCCUAUAGCUUUCAUGAUAGCCUGCAGAGAGAAAAUGUCCUUUUGUUGCAUACUAUCGAUAGCUACGAAGUGUCAUCGACAGUACAUAGUCCUUACUUCUAGUAAGCAUUUAGUAAAUAAUAUAAAUUAAUGACACUACUACACUAUGCUCAGCAGCUGGCUAGCCCUGCAGCUCGUGCUAGCUAGUCCAUAAACAAAACAAAAAAAUGCUCUGCCUCUUCUUUUUUUUAAAGGUUUUAUUGCGGACUACAUCCAAAAAGGUGUAUUGCCGCCACCUACUGGGUAGGGUAAAACUGAGAUACUUUAACCCAAAAAAUAUGUUAAUAAUUAAAAUGAAACAAAAGUCAAUGUACUCCUUCACUUGGUCAAAUGUACUCAGAUCCCUACUCAGGCUUUGGGGCCUGAGAGGGGGAACAUCUUCAGACAGUUUUCCCUACAAAGUUUCUGCUGUGAAAUCCAGGAUAUCCCAGAACCUUUUAGCCGCUUUCACAAUUUCCAAUUUCUUAGAUGUUUUGUUCGUUUGUCCUGUACAAUUAAUCACUUGCACAAUAAACAAAACAAAAUCAACCUUCACGAUUAGUAUUUCAGGAUCUCUCAACUGACUGACAUCCACAGACUGUUGGACAUCAUCCACUGCCAUAGCUUCAUCUCUACUCGCUGCUUUGAUAAUUUUCACAGCUUCUGCAUAGGACACCUCAACAGCCCUGAUCGUUCCUACUUUGACAUCCUCCACCCUAACAGGGCACUACGGGAACUCUGGAACAAUUGCAACACUGUGCAUCCUCACUGAUUCAACAAUGAUAUUCCGUUUUCAAACACAUGGCCAAACGUUUUACAUUGAAGUGGCUUUUGUACAUAAGCUCGCACCACAUAUCUUAUAUAUCCCAGCUUUACACAGGUCAGGAAAACUUUUUCAUGAAACAUCAAUAACAGUCUUUCCCCCUUCUUUCCAUUCACAGUGUGGGUUAAGCGACGUGAAUCAACUAUUCUUGACAUGUUCAUCUUAAACUAUGAAGCCUCCAUAUCCAUCGAGACGCUGGAUAUGAUACCGGUACCCUACUUCGAUAAUCAUAACAUUCCACUUCAUGCUUCGAUAAUUUGUGCUUUCUCCUUUUGUUCUUUUGACACGUGAAAUCAACAUCAUAACACUCCUGGUCAUUCUGACUGACUCCACUUCUUGUGACCGCAAACGUGUUUCCCCCAAAAAACAUCCUUUCUCAUGAAUUGCACUCCAACAAGGAAUGGGGCAUUAUCAUUCCGAGGCUUAUCUUGAUUUACAACUGUAGCCCUUUUACAAUAGCUCCAUUCUUAUGUUCCAGUAUUCCACUCAUUUCCUCUAUCUUCACUAGGGCCAACAGAAUCAAGGAUUACUUCUGCCAUUGCUCUCCCACCUCCCUGGCUGAUUUCCGUGCACUAUCAAAAACGCCGUUUUGAAAUUACCACCGAGCUAUAGGAAAUUACAAUUACUAUUAGCCCUGUGACACAUGUGCUCAAAGAACCCCUCUCUGCAUUUUAGAAACUGCCUGAAUAAAAUAGAAGUUAAUGAGCAGCAGUUAAAGAAUGCUGCGUCCAAAGAUCUGAUGAAAAACUGUUU